rnacentral:misc_RNA from 1 species
GAUGAAGAACGUAGCGAAAUGCGAUAAGUAACGUGAAUUGCAGAAUUCAGUGAAUCAUCGAAUCUUUGAACGCACAUUGCGCCCGCCAGUAUUCUGGCGGGCAUGCCUGUUCGAGCGUCAUUUCAACCCUCAGGCCCCCAGUGCCUGGUGUUGGGGAUCGGCCCAGCCUUCCUGUAAGGCCGCCGGCCCCGAAAUCUAGUGGCGGUCUCGCUGUAGUCCUCCUCUGCGUAGUAGCACAACCUCGCAGUUGGAACGCGGCGGUGGCCAUGCCGUUAAACACCCCACUUCUGAAAGUUGACCUCGGAUCAGGUAGGAAUACCCGCUGAACUUAAGCAUAUCAAUAAGCGGAGGA